AGAGUUUGAUCCUGGCUCAGGAUGAACGCUAGCUACAGGCUUAACACAUGCAAGUCGAGGGGCAGCAUGGUCUUAGCUUGCUAAGGCUGAUGGCGACCGGCGCACGGGUGAGUAACACGUAUCCAACCUGCCGUCUACUCUUGGCCAGCCUUCUGAAAGGAAGAUUAAUCCAGGAUGGCAUCAUGAGUUCACAUGUCCGCAUGAUUAAAGGUAUUUUCCGGUAGACGAUGGGGAUGCGUUCCAUUAGAUAGUAGGCGGGGUAACGGCCCACCUAGUCUUCGAUGGAUAGGGGUUCUGAGAGGAAGGUCCCCCACAUUGGAACUGAGACACGGUCCAAACUCCUACGGGAGGCAGCAGUGAGGAAUAUUGGUCAAUGGGCGAUGGCCUGAACCAGCCAAGUAGCGUGAAGGAUGACUGCCCUAUGGGUUGUAAACUUCUUUUAUAAAGGAAUAAAGUCGGGUAUGCAUACCCGUUUGCAUGUACUUUAUGAAUAAGGAUCGGCUAACUCCGUGCCAGCAGCCGCGGUAAUACGGAGGAUCCGAGCGUUAUCCGGAUUUAUUGGGUUUAAAGGGAGCGUAGGCGGAUUGUUAAGUCAGUUGUGAAAGUUUGCGGCUCAACCGUAAAAUUGCAGUUGAUACUGGAUGUCUUGAGUGCAGUUGAGGCAGGCGGAAUUCGUGGUGUAGCGGUGAAAUGCUUAGAUAUCACGAAGAACUCCGAUUGCGAAGGCAGCCUGCUAAGCUGCAACUGACAUUGAGGCUCGAAAGUGUGGGUAUCAAACAGGAUUAGAUACCCUGGUAGUCCACACGGUAAACGAUGAAUACUCGCUGUUUGCGAUAUACAGCAAGCGGCCAAGCGAAAGCGUUAAGUAUUCCACCUGGGGAGUACGCCGGCAACGGUGAAACUCAAAGGAAUUGACGGGGGCCC
rnacentral:rRNA from 1 species